CUUUGAGUGCCUUUUGAUUUAUUCUUUCCUCUGUUUUAUAUCCAGUAUAUAUUUUCAUAAGUUGGGCUGUCAUUACAGUGGAGGUGAAAUUUCUGUCCUUUUUCUAGAGACUAAUUGUAUAAGAAAAUAAAACCCCAAAAUAUUUAUAGUAUCAUUUGCAGUGUAUCUGAGUAUACCUAGAGUCUAAAAAUACUGAUUUUAAUUAGUGACCUAUUCGGGGUGAGGCGAGAGCUCCAUUUUUAGUUACAAGAUACUUACUGGUGGAGGUGGAACUCCAGGACAGUUUCAGGGCAAUAAAUAGCACGGAUUUUGGUAGCACAUUUCCCAGCCCAGCAGAGGAGUGGGGAGGGUUCGUGACUAUGCUGUUCAACCUCACAGCAUGCUUGCACUGUAACUACAACGUGACUGAGACAUCUUUAAAACGACAGUGUUCUAUAUUAAAGAUCCCAGUGAUGGCUAAGUGAUUAAAACACAGAGGAGUAGCAGCUGCUAGACUGCUAGAACUGUAAGACUGCUAGAACUGCAUGCUGUUAUGGGGAAGCAAUUAUGCACUGAAUACCUAAAGCUAUUCCAUAGCUCUGCACUGACUCCAGAAGAGCAAUAUCUGGUUCUGAGAGCAAAGAGGAUCAGACUGGGCUCUACAGGCUGUGGAAUUUUCACUAGGGCCUGAAGGAAGCUAUCAAAUGGAUUCCAAGAAUGUGGUCAUCCUGACCCAGCUCAUUCAGAAUCAUUUGUCUCAUAAUAAAAAUUAUGGACAGAAUACACCAGGUGUACAGAAGAAGAUAAAUAGUUCAGAAGUCUAUGUGGAAGCACUGGAAAGUCAAUGGACAUGAGUUUUUCACCAGGAGUAGUUCCUCUGUGGGAAUCAAUCUCUGUGGGAGAUCCUCUGUGGGAAUUCUCUGUGGAAAUUCAAUCUCAGGUGGGAAAAGGCUGAUGAGGAGGUGAUGUUCCAGCUAUAUCAGAUAAUCUUCGUGAAGACUGAGGUGAAAUUUUGAUGCUGCCAUUGUUUAGUUUCCUUUUAAUAACUCAGAAGCAUUGUGAAAUGUACUUUGCACACCACCAUUAACACUGUAGCCAUUCAGAAGCCAGACGUACCAUUGCAACUAUUUUCUGCUCCCCUUUAUGGCAUGACAGUGGUCCGGAGAGUAUAGAGAAACAAAUCAGAAACUAUGAUGUUGAUGUGACCAGCUGAAAAGUCACAUCCACCUCUGGACUCCACUCAUUAAACUGUCUCCUCUGGGAUUUAUGACUUUUCCUUAAUAAGCUUCAAAGUAUUACCAUUUUCUUUUUGUCAGGCUUCUUCCUCUCAUCCCCUCUCCCUCUGGCUUAUGUUAAAGAAAAUAUUACUACACAAUAAAUAAAGAGCAUAUAUUUGGCUAAAAGCAAGCAUUAUGGCAAGGUAUUAAA
rnacentral:lncRNA from 1 species